rnacentral:rRNA from 1 species
CUGGCGGCGUGCCUAACACAUGCAAGUCGAGCGAUCUCUCGGAGAAGAGCGGCGGACGGUGAGUAACGCGUGGGUAACCUGCCUCAUACACAUGGAUAACAUACCGAAAGGUAUGCUAAUACAGGAUAAUAUAAGAGAUUCACAUGGAUUUCUUAUCAAAGCUCCGGCGGUAUGAGAUGGACCCGCGUCUGAUUAGCUAGUUGGUAAGGUAACGGCUUACCAAGGCGACGAUCAUUAGCCGACCUGAGAGGGUGAUCGGCCACAUUGGAACUGAGACACGGUCCAAACUCCUACGGGAGGCAGCAGUGGGGAAUAUUGCACAAUGGGCGAAAGCCUGAUGCAAGCAACGCCGCGUGAGUGAUGAAGGCCUUCGGGUCGUAAAACUCUGUCCUCAAGGAAGAUAAUGACGGUACUUGAGGAGGAAGCCCCGGCUAACUACGUGCCAGCAGCUGC